rnacentral:tRNA from 1 species
GGAGGGUUAGCUCUAACUGGUAAGGCAGCGGACUUGAAAUCCGCCGUCCCCGGCAGGGGACAUGGGGGUUCGAAUCCGUCACCCUCCG